GUUAUGUGUAUAUGUAUGUGUAUCAUGUGCACAUAUACAUAAACACAUCCACAUUUAUAAGUUAAAUUAAUGAAAUAUUUUGUUUCCACAGUGUUCCAUAAUUGCCCCACUUUUUACAUAGCAUGUCAUACAUAUUACAUUCUUUUGAUAACUGUACAUACGAGUUGUAAAAUUUAUUCACUUUAUUUUUUAUCUUUUAAUCCCCUCCCCCCAAUAUUAUAUUUGUACAGUUUUGGAAAUAUUCAUAAAUGUCUGAUAUCCAUCAUAUCUGAUAUUAGCAAUGUAGUGUAGUUUACAAAAAAAAAGUAAUAAUAAAUGUAGAGGAUUGCCUCUGUUAACAAGUAGAAGGGGGAAAAAAUAACCCAUUUAAGCUCAUUAAUAAAUCAGUUUCUUUUUAUUAAAAAGAUAUUCUUUUUCAUUUACAUUUAAAUAUUCAUUUAUAUGUUUCAUUGUUUCAUAGAAUAGAUUUGUUAUUUAUUGUUGUUGUUAACCAUAAUAAUGCUUAUCAUUGUCAUAAUAAUAAUCAUCACCUUCAUCAUCAUCAUUAUCCUAUACAAUUUUAUCAACUAUUUUAUGCUGAUGACACUUCUGAUGAUAAUGAAAUUUAUUCAGCCAGAUUGGGCAAUAAAUGAUUUUCAAAAGUUUCUAACUAUUUUGCCAUUGGCUGGAUGCUUUAGCACUUUUGUGAUUCUCUUAUUGUCAUGUUUUUACAACCCUUUACCAUCAAUUGUUGACAAAAAUUUGUUCCGAAGUUUUGUGUCAUACAUGUUACCUUAACAUUGUAAAUAAUCCUUAUUCAACAUAAAUAAGUAUUUUGUCUCUCUCUCUCUCCUCCUU